AAUGAACGUUGGCGGCAUGGAUUAGGCAUGCAAGUCGAGCGGUAAGGCCCCGCAAGGGGUACACGAGCGGCGUAAGGGACAGUAAUGUGUAGGUACGUACCUCCGGGCCUGGGAUAGCUGCGGGAAACUGCAAUUAAUACCAGAUGAUGUCUCCGGACCAAAGGUGUGAUUCCGCCGGGAGAGCGGCCUACAUCCUAUUAGCUAGUUGGCGGGUAACGCCCACCAAGGCUCAGAUGGGUAGCAGGUGUGAGAGCACGACCUGCGUCACUGGGACUGAGACACUGCCCAGACACCUACGGGUGGCUGCAGUCGAGAAUCUUCGGCAAUGAGCGGCAAGCUUGACCGAGCAAUG
rnacentral:rRNA from 1 species